rnacentral:rRNA from 1 species
UACGUAGGGUGCAAGCGUUGUCCGGAAUUAUUGGGCGUAAAGAGCUCGUAGGCGGUCUGUCACGUCGGCUGUGAAAACCCGAGGCUCAACCUCGGGCCUGCAGUCGAUACGGGCAAACUAGAGUACUGCAGGGGAGACUGGAAUUCCUGGUGUAGCGGUGAAAUGCGCAGAUAUCAGGAGGAACACCGGUGGCGAAGGCGGGUCGCUGGGCAGUAACUGACGCUGAGGAGCGAAAGCGUGGGGAGCGAACAGG